ensembl:lncRNA
CACACAAACACAAUCCAUGUCUCAAAUGUCUCAAGGUUUAAAUAUCAUUCUUCAACCAGUCUCCUCCCCUUCAUCUACUCUGAAGUGGAUUUAACCUGUCUCCUCCCCUUCACCUACUCUGAAGUGGAUUCAACCUGUCUCCUCCCCUUCAUCUACUCUGAAGUGGAUUCAACCUGUCUCCUCCCCUUCACCUACUCUGAAGUGGAUUCAACCUGUCUCCUCCCCUUCAUCUACUCUGAAGUGGAUUCAACCUGUCUCCUCCCCUUCAUCUACUCUGAAGUGGAUUCAACCUGUCUCCUCCCCUUCACCUACUCUGAAGUGGAUUUAACCUGUCUCCUCCCCUUCAUCUACUCUGAAGUGGAUUUAACCUGUCUCCUCCCCUUCAUCUACUCUGAAGUGGAUUUAACCUGUCUCCUCCCCUUCAUCUACUCUGAAGUGGAUUUAACCUGUCUCCUCCCCUUCAUCUACUCUGAAGUGGAUUCAACCUGUCUCCUCCCCUUCAUCUACUCUGAAGUGGAUUUAACCUGUCUCCUCCCCUUCACCUACUCUGAAGUGGAUUCAACCUGUCUCCUCCCCUUCAUCUACUCUGAAGUGGAUUUAACCUGUCUCCUCCCCUUCAUCUACUCUGAAGUGGAUUUAACCUGUCUCCUCCCCUUCAUCUACUCUGAAGUGGAUUUAACCUGUCUCCUCCCCUUCAUCUACUCUGAAGUGGAUUUAACCAGUCUCCUCCCCUUCAUCUUCACCUACUCUGAAGUGGAUUUAACCUGUCUCCUCCCCUUCAUCUACUCUGAAGUGGAUUUAACCUGUCUCCUCCCCUUCAUCUACUCUGAAGUGGAUUUAACCUGUCUCCUCCCCUUCAUCUACUCCGAAGUGGAUUUAACCUGUCUCCUCCCCUUCAUCUACUCUGAAGUGGAUUUAACCUGUCUCCUCUCCUUCAUCUACUCUGAAGUGGAUUUAACCUGUCUCCUCCCCUUCAUCUACUCUGAAGUGGAUUUAACCUGUCUCCUCCCCUUCACCUACUCUGAAGUGGAUUUAACCUGUCUCCUCCCCUUCAUCUACUCUGAAGUGGAUUCAACCUGUCUCCUCCCCUUCACCUACUCUGAAGUGGAUUUAACCUGUCUCCUCCCCUUCACCUACUCUGAAGUGGAUUCAACCUGUCUCCUCCCCUUCAUCUUCACCUACUCUGAAGUGGAUUUAACCUGUCUCCUCCCCUUCACCUACUCUGAAGUGGAUUCAACCUGUCUCCUCCCCUUCAUCUACUCUGAAGUGGAUUUAACCUGUCUCCUCCCCUUCAUCUACUCUGAAGUGGAUUUAACCUGUCUCCUCCCCUUCAUCUACUCUGAAGUGGAUUCAACCUGUCUCCUCCCCUUCAUCUUCACCUACUCUGAAGUGGAUUUAACCUGUCUCCUCCCCUUCACCUACUCUGAAGUGGAUUUAACCUGUCUCCUCCCCUUCACCUACUCUGAAGUGGAUUUAACCUGUCUCCUCCCCUUCACCUACUCUGAAGUGGAUUUAACCUGUCUCCUCCCCUUCACCUACUCUGAAGUGGAUUUAACCUGUCUCCUCCCCUUCACCUACUCUGAAGUGGAUUCAACCUGUCACCUCCCCUUCAUCUACUCUGAAGUGGAUUCAACCUGUCUCCUCCCCUUCACCUACUCUGAAGUGGAUUCAACCUGUCUCCUCCCCUUCAUCUACUCUGAAGUGGAUUCAACCUGUCUCCUCCCCUUCACCUACUCUGAAGUGGAUUCAACCUGUCUCCUCCCCUUCAUCUACUCUGAAGUGGAUUCAACCUGUCUCCUCCCCUUCAUCUACUCUGAAGUGGAUUUAACCUGUCUCCUCCCCUUCACCUACUCUGAAGUGGAUUCAACCUGUCUCCUCCCCUUCAUCUACUCUGAAGUGGAUUCAACCUGUCUCCUCCCCUUCACCUACUCUGAAGUGGAUUUAACCUGUCUCCCCCCCUUCAUCUACUCUGAAGUGGAUUUAACCUGUCUCCUCCCCUUCAUCUACUCUGAAGUGGAUUUAACAAGUGACGUCAAUAAGGGAUCACAGCUUUCACCAUCGAAAGAGCAGGUGUUCUUAAUGUUUUGUCCACUCAGUGUAUAUAGUGAAUGUUGUGUCAUAUGGGCUGUAGACUGCAGACUCAGUGUUAAAGAGGUUUAUAGAGGUUUCAUCUCAGUGUUAUUAGAGGUUUCAUCUCAGUGUUAUUAG